rnacentral:rRNA from 1 species
UACAGGGGGUGCAAACGUUGCUCGGAAUUAUUGGGCGUAAAGCGCGCGUAGGCGGCUACCUAAGUCGGAUGUGAAAGCCCCUGGCUUAACCGGGGAAGUGCACCCGAAACUGGGUAGCUAGAGUGCAAAAGAGGGUCGCGGAAUUCCCGGUGUAGAGGUGAAAUUCGUAGAUAUCGGGAGGAACACCGGUGGCGAAGGCGGCGACCUGGGUUGACACUGACGCUGAGGCGCGAAAGCGUGGGGAGCAAACAGG